AAAGGCCAACGACACGCGACGUUCCCAAGCGGUCACCCAUCUAAGUACUAAUCGCGCCCGAUGUUGCUUAACUUCAGUGAUCGGACGAGAACUGGUGUUUUCAACAUGGUAUGAUCGUUGACAAAGGCAGUCAUGUUAAAAGAGGAUUUUAUUCUGACCAAAGUCAAAAGUGAAUGGUCAAAGUGAUAAUCGAAAUUGAUUAAUUGAAUGACAAAACCAUCAUUUGGAGGCACUUUUCUAAAAUUGGACGCAUGUAAUGAUUGCAACCAUUUGCCGUCCUAGGUUCGAAUCCCGUUCCGGCCACAUCGGAUUUUCAAGUGCCAAAAAACACCAUUUAGAGGCCUUUUUCGAAAAACUCAUACAUGGUAAGAUUGUCUUAAAAAGCCCCCCAGAACCCAAAUUCACCCUCAGGAUGCAAAUAAAAAAUGCAAAAAGGCCAACGACAUGCGACGUUCCCAAGCGGUCACCCAUCUAAGUACUAAUCGCGCCCGAUGUUGCUUAACUUCAGUGAUCGGACGAGAACUGGUGUUUUCAACAUGGUAUGAUCGUUGACAAAGGCAGUUACGUUAAAAGAGGAUUUUAUUCUGACCAAAGUCAAAAGUGAAUGGUCAAAGUGAUAAUCGAAAUUGAUUAAUUGAAUGACAAAACCAUCAUUUGGAGGCACUUUUCUAAAA